UGAUCGAUAGCCGGCCUGAGAGGGCACACGGCCACACUGGCACUGAAACACGGGCCAGACUCCUACGGGAGGCAGCAGUGGGGAAUCUUGCACAAUGGGGGAAACCCUGAUGCAGCGACGCCGCGUGAGCGAUGAAGCCCCUCGGGGUGUAAAGCUCUUUCGGCAGGGAAGAUUAUGACGGUACCUGCAAAAGCAGCUGCGGCUAACUACGUGCCAGCAGCCGCGGUAAUACGUAGGCAGCAAGCGUUGUUCGGAGUUACUGGGCGUAAAGGGUGCGUAGGCGGCUUGUUAAGUUUGGUGUGAAAUCUCCCGGCUCAACUGGGAGGGUGCGCCGAAUACUGAGAGGCUAGAGUGUGGGAGAGGAAAGUGGAAUUCCUGGUGUAGCGGUGAAAUGCGUAGAUAUCAGGAGGAACACCGGUGGUGUAAACGGCUUUCUGGACCAUAACUGACGCUGAGGCACGAAAGCGUGGGUAGCAAACAGGAUUAGAUACCCUGGUAGUCCACGCCCUAAACGAUGCAUAUUUGGUGUGGGCCAUUCAUUUGGUCCGUGCCGGAGCUAACGCGUUAAAUAUGCCGCCUGGGGAGUACAGUCGCAAGGCUGAAACUCAAAGGAAUUGACGGGGGCCCGCACAAGCGGUGGAGCAUGUGGUUUAAUUCGACGCAACGCGAAGAACCUUACCUGGGCUCGAAAUGCUAUGGACCAGCUGGUGAAAGCCGGCCUUCCCGCAAGGGACUGUAGUAUAGGUGCUGCAUGGCUGUCGUCAGCUCGUGUCGUGAGAUGUUGGGUUAAGUCCCGCAACGAGCGCAACCCUUGUCCUGUGUUGCCAUCAUUCAGUUGGGAACUCGCAGGAGACCGCCAGGGAUAACCUGGAGGAAGGGGGAUGACGUCAAGUCCUCAUGGCCUUUAUGUCCAGGGCUACACACGUGCUACAAUGGACGGUACAAAGGGCUGCCAACCCGCAAGGGGGAGCCAAUCCCAAAAAACCGUUCUCAGUUCGGAUUGCAGGCUGCAACUCGCCUGCAUGAAGCUGGAAUCGCUAGUAAUGGUGGAUCAGAACGCCACCGUGAAUACGUUCCCGGGCCUUGUACACACCGCCCGUCACAUCACGAAAGUGGGUUGUACUAGAAGUCCGCGCGCCGACCCGCAAGGGGGGCAGCGGCCCAAGGUGUGACUCAUGAUUGGGGUGAAGUCGUAACAAGGUAGCCGUAGGAGGACCUGCGGCUG
rnacentral:rRNA from 1 species